rnacentral:rRNA from 1 species
UGAACGCUGGCGGCAUGCCUUACACAUGCAAGUCGAACGGCAGCACGGGUGCUUGCACCUGGUGGCGAGUGGCGAACGGGUGAGUAAUACAUCGGAACAUGUCCUGUAGUGGGGGAUAGCCCGGCGAAAGCCGGAUUAAUACCGCAUACGAUCUACGGAUGAAAGCGGGGGACCUUCGGGCCUCGCGCUAUAGGGUUGGCCGAUGGCUGAUUAGCUAGUUGGUGGGGUAAAGGCCUACCAAGGCGACGAUCAGUAGCUGGUCUGAGAGGACGACCAGCCACACUGGGACUGAGACACGGCCCAGACUCCUACGGGAGGCAGCAGUGGGGAAUUUUGGACAAUGGGCGAAAGCCUGAUCCAGCAAUGCCGCGUGUGUGAAGAAGGCCUUCGGGUUGUAAAGCACUUUUGUCCGGAAAGAAAUCCUUGGCUCUAAUACAGUCGGGGGAUGACGGUACCGGAAGAAUAAGCACCGGCUAACUACGUGCCAGCAGCCGCGGUAAUACGUAGGGUGCGAGCGUUAAUCGGAAUUACUGGGCGUAAAGCGUGCGCAGGCGGUUUGCUAAGACCGAUGUGAAAUCCCCGGGCUCAACCUGGGAACUGCAUUGGUGACUGGCAGGCUAGAGUAUGGCAGAGGGGGGUAGAAUUCCACGUGUAGCAGUGAAAUGCGUAGAGAUGUGGAGGAAUACCGAUGGCGAAGGCAGCCCCCUGGGCCAAUACUGACGCUCAUGCACGAAAGCGUGGGGAGCAAACAGGAUUAGAUACCCUGGUAGUCCACGCCCUAAACGAUGUCAACUAGUUGUUGGGGAUUCAUUUCCUUAGUAACGUAGCUAACGCGUGAAGUUGACCGCCUGGGGAGUACGGUCGCAAGAUUAAAACUCAAAGGAAUUGACGGGGACCCGCACAAGCGGUGGAUGAUGUGGAUUAAUUCGAUGCAACGCGAAAAACCUUACCUACCCUUGACAUGGUCGGAAUCCCGCUGAGAGGUGGGAGUGCUCGAAAGAGAACCGGCGCACAGGUGCUGCAUGGCUGUCGUCAGCUCGUGUCGUGAGAUGUUGGGUUAAGUCCCGCAACGAGCGCAACCCUUGUCCUUAGUUGCUACGCAAGAGCACUCUAAGGAGACUGCCGGUGACAAACCGGAGGAAGGUGGGGAUGACGUCAAGUCCUCAUGGCCCUUAUGGGUAGGGCUUCACACGUCAUACAAUGGUCGGAACAGAGGGUUGCCAACCCGCGAGGGGGAGCUAAUCCCAGAAAACCGAUCGUAGUCCGGAUUGCACUCUGCAACUCGAGUGCAUGAAGCUGGAAUCGCUAGUAAUCGCGGAUCACGCAUGCCGCGGUGAAUACGUUCCCGGGUCUUGUACUCACCGCC